rnacentral:rRNA from 1 species
ACUCCUACGGGAGGCAGCAGUAAGGAAUAUUGGACAAUGGACGCAAGUCUGANCCAGCCAUGCCGCGUGAAGGAUGAAGNACCUCUNAAAUUGUAAACUUCUUUUAUAGGGGACGAAAAAAGGUCUUUCUAGAUCANNUGACAGUAGCCUAUGAGAAGG